GAUGAACGCUGGCGGCGUGCCUAAUACAUGCAAGUCGAGCGAACAGACGAGGAGCUUGCUCCUCUGACGUUAGCGACGGACGGGUGAGUAACACGUGGAUAACCUACCUAUAAUUCUGGGAUAACUUCGGGAAACCGGAGCUACUACCGGAUCAUAUAUUGAACCGCAUGGUUCAAUAGUUAAAGACGGUUUUGCUGUCACUUUUAGAUGGUUCCGCGCCGCAUUAGCUAGUUGGUAAGGUAACGGCUUACCAAGGCAACGAUGCGUAGCCGACCUGAGAGGGUGAUCGGCCACACUGGAACUGAGACACGGUCCAGACUCCUACGGGAGGCAGCAGUAGGGAAUCUUCCGCAAUGGGCGAAAGCCUGACGGAGCAACGCCGCGUGAGUGAUGAAGGUCUUCGGAUCGUAAAACUCUGUUAUUAGGGAAGAACAAAUGUGUAAGUAACUAUGCACGUCUUGACGGUACCUAAUCAGAAAGCCACGGCUAACUACGUG
rnacentral:rRNA from 1 species